rnacentral:rRNA from 1 species
ACGAACGCUGGCGGCGUGCUUAACACAUGCCAGUCGAACGGUAAGGCCCCUUCGGGGGUACACGAGUGGCGAACGGGUGAGUAACACGUGAGCAACCUGCCCUUGACUCUGGACUAACAGUUGGAACCAGCUGCUAAUACUGGAUAUUCAUCGUCUCCUUCCUGGGGGGUGGUGGAAAGCUCCGGCGGUCAGGGAUGGGCUCGCGGCCUAUCAGCUUGUUGGUGAGGUAAUGGCUCACCAAGGCUUCGACGGGUAGCCGGCCUGAGAGGGCGACCGGCCACACUGGGACUGAGAUACGGCCCAGACUCCUACGGGAGGCAGCAGUGGGGAAUAUUGCACAAUGGGCGCAAGCCUGAUGCAGCAACGCCGCGUGCGGGAUGACGGCCUUCGGGUUGUAAACCGCUUUCAGUAGGGACGAAGGGUGACUGACGGUACCUACAGAAGAAGGACCGGCUAACUACGUG